rnacentral:misc_RNA from 1 species
ACCCAUUAAGGGAAAGAUUGAAGGAAAUGGCAAAAAGGGUAUGGAUUGAUGUGUGAUAUAAAAAUGAUGGGUUUUGGCAAAGAAAAAUAAAUAAAUAAAGGAAAGCCUAGGAGAAUAUGCUAAGCUUAUAUCAUAGAAAUAAUCGGAGAAGGAAUCGAUUGGGGCGGUGGUGGAGGAGAGGCGAGUGGUGGUGGGCCGAAGAGUGCUUUUUGCAUUUGUGAG